CCCUUCUGCUUUCCCUCGCCGUUCCCCGGGUCUGACGCGCUCAUUCUGCAAUGUCUGGAGCCUUCGGAGGUUCGCUUCACUUCGGCUUCGCCACAUCUCUCAGCCGGCCGGGAGCCAGCCGCCGCCACAACAAAAGAAUAUCAUGGGCGCAGAUCACCCGAUCUGAUGGCCCCACGAGUCAAGAACAGCUUUUUCGGAGGUUUGCAAAGACAAUAACGGCCAGACGAUUGAUUGUAAAUGCAAAUUUAAAGAGAAAAGAUGACGCGAUCGACCUGCCGGCGUCAAAUAUAUUUGUUUGUAUUUCAGUCGGGAAGGCUUGCUUGAUUUUUUUUUUCUUUUUUCCGCCCUGAUGUGCUGCUUGCAGUGUUUUUUCAGCAAUGGCUGUAACUGUUCCAGAGAACAAUACUGGGUGACUGAUUGGUGACAGGAUAGUUCAGGCAACAACGAAAGCCAGGUGAUGGAGGUAGAAAAGGCCACGGACAUUUUGGAAAGGUAGCAUUGCGUUUGAUUUCGUUCUGGUGGAGAAAAUAGCAGUGCGAUUAACAAAGCAGCGUCAUCAAAAAUAUGACAGCGAUGAUUAGAAUGAAGAUUAACAUGUUUGACCAAAAAGAGAAGAUUUGGCCCACUGAGAAUGGAUCUUUUUUCUCUCAGUCAGUUGAAAAGCAGCAGUGUAACUUCUGAAAAAUGUUCAUAUUCCUGCAAAGGAAAAACAAACAGCAGGUGCGGUGCCUAGGUGUUUUAACCAUAACAUUCAUAUACAUAGAAUUCCUCAGAUGUAUUCUUCAUAUUUUUUCAUUCAGAAAAAAGUCAAUUUGUCAAGACUCCUGAAAUGUAGACUUAAUCUUUUUUGUGUAUGUGUAAACACAUAUAAAGAAUAUCAAGAUGAAAAAGCAAAUUGAGAAAAACUUGGGAAUAUGCAUAUUUAUGCUUGUAUUCAUACAAAUGUGAUUUUAAGAAUAUAACCAUUUUAUAUAUUCCAUGUUUAUUUUAGAACAUUUUUAUAGGUAAUGAUUUAUGGCCCUUUAAAAAAAGAUUUUAAAGGUCCUUUGCUAUUACAUUAUUUUUUUGCCACAACAUUUGGGGCAGAAGAAUUUUCCAUUUUGAUUCAAAGAAAGAGGUGCUUGUAUUUUUGAGAAUUUUUCAGUUGUAGACCUAUUAACUAGCAAUAGGAAUUUCUUGUAUUGCAACAGUGAAAGUCUUAUGUUCAAGGAUAGGGUUUUUGUUUGCUUAUUUGAAUGCAGAUUUUUUAAACUAAGUUUGACAAAAUAUAAAUUCUAUGAAGAGGGACAGACAUUUUAUGUAAUUUUUGGUCAUAAGGUGCUAAAAGUUAUAUUAUUGAUAUGAAUAUCAGUCUAUUCAAUAGUAUUUAUAACGACAUAUCUACUAUUCUGUGCCAUUUUAUUAUGGAAGUUUAGUAGAAACAGAAGAGCUACAGUAGCUUCCUGGUUCUCCAAACGUUUUGUAUAUUCAUUUUCUCUAUACAUAACAGUAUGACCAUACUACUGUGAUCAGUGGUCUCAGCCUCAGUUAUAAUCAGUAAGGUUGCUUACAAUAUGCAGGUAUAGAUACCUAUUUUCUAUUUUAUAGGCAUCUUUUCUUGUAUAAAUUAAAACAAUUUUCGCUUACCAGCUUUAUUAGCACGCUUGUGGAUUUACCUGCUUCUGAGAAAAGUUCCAAUCUUUCUCAUAAUGUAUGUUCCAAAAAUUCCCAGAAGCAUUCUUAGAAAAUAAAAUAGAGUCAUUGCAGUAGUGAGUUAUUGGAAGUAUGCCCACCUAUCCAAGUUAAAAAACAAAUAAGGUGAGGUAACAAUAGUAGUUUAAGCCAUUAUAAAAUACAAUACAUCAAAUUAAUACAGUAGCUCACAAUAAUCUAAUAUCACAACUAAAGCCUGAGUUUCCACAGAACGGCCUAAUAUGUUAGAGGGAGUAACACUGAGUAAUCUCAUCCGAUUGACUCCUAAUAAGAGAAUGCUUUGUGAUUGGCCACAACAAUCAUAACAGCCAUUUUGUGAAAAUGCCAUAAACAUAGAACUGCAUUAUUCAUAGGAUGUAAUAGUAUGUGGGAAAAGAUGUUGCCAUGGAACAGGCAGAUAAGAGACAACAUAAUUUUUGGCUACACAAUGAACAAGGCAAGAGACUCAGAAGAAACCCUAGUUUCUCAGGGCUAUAAAGGAGUUGGAGAAUGGGUGGGGAGAACAUUAUAUUUUCAUAUUUGCAAGUUUCUGUCAAUGUAGUUUUACAAUAACAAAAUUAGUUUAUCUGAUUCCUGUCUGAUAUACCCAUAAGGUCAAUAUAAAUCUUCUGUAUAAUACAGUAUUAUUAGUUCAUAUAGUUGUGAAUCCUAUUUAGUUUACCUCGUGAGGUAAUUAAUUAACAUUAAUCUUCUAUAUGAAAGAAGGUUCCCUCUCCCUUAUCUCCUUACAGCCCAAGAAACUAGGAUGGUACUGAGCCUCUUGCUUUGCUCACUAUCUGGCUGCAAGUUACCCUGUCUUAUCGGACUGUUUUCUUGGCAGUGUCUCUUCAUCCAGUCUCAAGGUCUUUCCCACAGACCAUUACAAAGGGAAAAAAUGAAGCUCUCAGUCUCGUUCAAAUCCAACUACUGAUCAACUCCUUCAAAAAACCUGGUGCAAUAAACCAUGUAAAUCAUUGUAGCAGGACAGCUAAGCCAAUAAAAUAGAAACCUGGAGUUUUCAAAAUUUUCCCCAAACUGUAUGAAUCUUCACACGUGGUCAUAUGAGCCUUCGCAAGUGGUCUUGGCCCACCACCUGCUUUGGAAUAGCAACUUGAUAGUUCCUGCUGCCACUACCAGUUUCCUAGGAGGUGCCGACACCUGAUAUCCUUCCCCUAAUACUACUAUGCAGAACAAAGAUAUCACAACUGAUGCUGCUUUAAUCAGAGAAUCAUAUCAUUUACUACUCAAGACAUGAAAAACAAGGAAUGGAAUGCUUUCAUAAAGCAGAAUAUAGCAAAGACAGGUCCCUUAUGAGAGAAAUUCUUAAACAUGAUACAUAAAUAAAUAAUACAAAUUUGGAUACAAUCUAGUCCAGGGGUGCUGAUCUCAAUGCAUCAGGAUUGUGUUUGACCUCUGGGGGAUGGGAUGGGCAUGGCCAGCAUGAUGUCACUCAUGUUGGGGGUGCCUGUGAUAGCCCAAGUGCUCUGCCAGUGAAAACAGGCUCCCGAGCUCCAUUUUCAGCUGGGACGACCUCCUGCAACCCUCUGCCAGCAAAAAAGAAGCUCAGGUUGGGGGGGCUGCGUGUGGCUCUUGUGAGCUCCAUUUUUGGCUGGGAUAGCCUCCUGCAACCCUCUUGCCAGUGAAAACGGAGACACAAAAUCUGAAACAGUGCUUUCUUUAUUGCUAAUAUAUUGCUAACUAAAAGGACAAGUAUACACAAGGUGAUCACCAGAUAAAUCAAAUCGACCAUAUUAUUGAUACAAGGAAGUGGAAGAACUCAGUUAUAACAACGAAGAUCUUGCCAGGGGGCAAUUGUGAAGCAAAUUACAAACUCUUUAUGUACAAGUUCCAAGUCAAGCUAAAAUGGGAGAAAAAAACUAAGCAGUUACCAUAAUAUGAUCUGAAGCACAUAUCCACCAUUUUCAAGGAGAACAUCAGGGCUUAUUUUGAACCUUGCUAAUAGGGAACAGUGAAAUUGCUGCAUGAAAUCAAACACAUUUUAAGGAUGAAUGUGAAAAGAGACUGUUAAAAGGUCAAAAAACAGAAGAAAGCAAACUGGAAAUCAGAACAAAUGGUAGAAAUUGCAGGAGUAACCAAACCCAAGAAAGAUGCAAAAAUCUCAGGAAGAACCUGAGAAUAGUUAGAAAAAAACAAACAAUAUUACAAUAUCUGUGAAGAUGGAAAAAUACAGUUUUUGAAAACUCAGAAGAAGGGUCUAACCUUGAAUUCUUAUCCUAAAAUUGCCAAUGAACAGAUGGUAACAAAUUCAAAAACACUCAACCAGAAUGGAAGAAGUGUACUAAAAUUCUGUGUAGUAGAGAUUUCAUUGUUCAAGAUAUCCAGAAGAUGUUCUCUUUUUAUGAGAACAUUUAAUAAAAGAAGGUGAACUUAAAUAAGUACUCUGUUAUUAGUAUGUCUGAAGGCUAAAGGAACUCAUGGAAGAAUCAGUAAAUAUUCUAAUCAAACUCUGCCAACAAAGCUGGAGAACAACACAAUGGCCAACACAUUGGAAGAGGUCUGUCUACAUAUCAAAAGAAAGGAGAGCAUUUAUAUACCCUUUAUUUUCACAUUGUAGCAAAACAAUGUAUAGAUCAUUUAACAUGGAUUACAGCCAUACAUGGAAAGGAAAUGCUUGAUGUCCAACUUUAUUUUAGAAAAGGCAAAAGAAAAAGAAAAAACAAUUACUGAUGCAUACUGGAUAACUGAGAAUGCCAAAAAAAG
rnacentral:lncRNA from 1 species